CGUUAGCGGCGGACGGGUGAGUAACACGUGGGUAACCUACCUAUAAGACUGGGAUAACUUCGGGAAACCGGAGCUAAUACCGGAUAAUAUUUCGAACCGCAUGGUUCGAUAGUGAAAGAUGGUUUUGCUAUCACUUAUAGAUGGACCCGCGCCGUAUUAGCUAGUUGGUAAGGUAACGGCUUACCAAGGCGACGAUACGUAGCCGACCUGAGAGGGUGAUCGGCCACACUGGAACUGAGACACGGUCCAGACUCCUACGAGGCAGCAGCU
rnacentral:rRNA from 1 species